CCCUUAGAUGUCCUGGGCUGCACGCGCGCUACACUGGAAGUUACGGAUUGAGAUACUACCUUGUCCGAAAUGGUCCGGGUAAUCACCUAAAAGCUUGUCAUAAUUGGAAUGGAUUAUUGUAACUAGUAAUCCUGAACGAGGAAUUCCUAGUAAGUCCCAGUCAACAGCUGGUACUGAUUACGUCCCUGCCCUUUGUACACACCGCCCGUCGCUACUACUGAUUGGACGUUUAAGCAAGAUUUUUACACACUGACAGUGUGUAGUUCACGCUAUACUACAGUGAGAAGAAGAAGAUCGAGCUUACUUGUCUAGAGGAAGUAAAAGUCGUAACA
rnacentral:rRNA from 1 species